GACGAACGCUGGCGGCGUGCUUAACACAUGCAAGUCGAACGGAAAGGCCCUGCUUUUGUGGGGUGCUCGAGUGGCGAACGGGUGAGUAACACGUGAGUAACCUGCCCUUGACUUUGGGAUAACUUCAGGAAACUGGGGCUAAUACCGGAUAGGAGCUCCUGCUGCAUGGUGGGGGUUGGAAAGUUUCGGCGGUUGGGGAUGGACUCGCGGCUUAUCAGCUUGUUGGUGGGGUAGUGGCUUACCAAGGCUUUGACGGGUAGCCGGCCUGAGAGGGAGACCGGCCACAUUGGGACUGAGAUACGGACCAGACUCCUACGGGAGGCAGCAGUGGGGAAUAUUGCACAAUGGGCGGAAGCCUGAUGCAGCAACGCCGCGUGCGGGAUGACGGCCUUCGGGUUGUAAACCGCUUUCGCCUGUGACGAAGCGUGAGUGACGGUAAUGGGUAAAGAAGCACCGGCUAACUACGUG
rnacentral:rRNA from 1 species